UGGCUUAGUGGUUAAGAGUUUGGCUGCUAACCAAAAGGUUGGGAGUUCAAAUCUACC
rnacentral:tRNA from 1 species